rnacentral:rRNA from 1 species
GAUGAACGCUGGCGGCGUGCCUAAUACAUGCAAGUCGAGCGAACAGACGAGGAGCUUGCUCCUCUGACGUUAGCGGCGGACGGGUGAGUAACACGUGGAUAACCUACCUAUAAGACUGGGAUAACUUCGGGAAACCGGAGCUAAUACCGGAUAAUAUAUUGAACCGCAGGGUUCAAUAGUGAAAGACGGUUUUGCUGUCACUUAUAGAUGGAUCCCCGCCGCAUUAGCUAGUUGGUAAGGUAACGGCCUACCAAGGCAACGAGGCGUAGACGACCUGAGAGGCUGAUCGGCCACACUGGAACGUAGACACGGUCCCGACUACUACGGGAGGCAGCAGUAGGGAAUCUUCCGCAAUAGGCGAAAGCUUGACGGAGCAACGCCGCGUGAGUGAUGAAGGUCCUCGGAUCGUAAAACUCUGUUAUUAGGGAAGAACAAAUGUGUAAGUAACUAUGCACGUCUUGACGGUACCUAAUCAGAAAGCCACGGCUAACUACGUG